GCAAGCUCCUGGUACAACGGUAGCUGCUCCAGCAUACAGACAGCUCGAAGCAGUGGGCAUGACUUGGCACAGGCUGGAACCCAUGGAUAGAAGGGCCAACAGCCGCAUAACAAAUUAUAAAGUACCAGUGCUGAAGUGAAGAAUUGUUUUGAGACUUUAAUUAGAAGAUGAAGAAGAAAUAGAAGGACAGACAUCUAAGCAUGACAUUGUGACAGAGCCCUGAAGGCGGAUCUUUGAUGAGAUCAUUAAAGGAACAUGACUGUAAUCCGGCUGCUUCUGUGCCUGACACAAGGAUCCCACAUCUGCCUGAGGCUGCCAGCUCUGAAGAGACCACUGAUGGAAGCUGGGGAAAUGGCAAGAGUAAAUUGGAGACGGAUACACCAUUAUUCUCUGAAAGUUCUGCAUCCCAGCUUUCACUGCAUUCUCAAAAGCCGGAGUAAACUUGCUAGUGAACACACGAAAUGUUUGAGACACAGCACGGGACAGACCUCAGGUCCUCUGACCUUUCAGCCAAACCUCAUCCCAGUGCAGCGAGCUGACUGAUUUCCAUCAUUCCUCUCCAGACCAUCUCUGAGGUCCCUAAGGUUUCUUGCAACACUGUGAAUCAGAAUUCUGAAAUUCUGUAAUCAGUCUAACAUAUUUACCCUUGUUUCUAAAAACAAACACUGUGGAAAGAAUAUUAAAUUUGGGAUCAGAAGAAAGAAGUUUGGAUCCUCGCUGUGCCCUCAGCAUCCUUGAGUCCUUGAGCUGUAAAAUGCAUCCUUGCCGCUGAGAGCUCCGCCUGCAAACUUCAGGGAACCUUGAGAAGUUCGACCUCCUUGCAGCACCUCCAUCCUUCUUGCCGGGCCCUGACAGGUAUUGAUUUAUCAGGGACAUGAAUGGCCCGGGGAGCUCACCUCGCCCCGACUUCCGCGGCCACCUCUCAGCGGUGUUUGGCGAAGACUCAGGAGCUUGUCAUCUAUCAUACUCACCUUCCAUAUUCCAGACAGCCUCCCGGGAUGUUUUCCUAUCUUGUCACUGCUAAUAGAGCCCUUACCUGAUAGAGGGUCCUGCCAGCUUCUGCCCUUCCACCAACACAACCCCCUAGAAUAACUAGAGCAAUGAAAAUGAGGAAAUAAAGCUUUGAAUGUAA